CACGUCAAUUUUUUCUUCUCUCCAAGCUCUGCAAAACCAUCAGUUCACUUCCUCCCUCCAUCACUUCCAUUCCCGACCACCUCUGAGCAUAGCCACCUUCCCAGCCGCCAUCAGUCAACCUCCUAGUCUCCAUCUAUCUCUAUCUUAGCUUCUUCUCCAAAACAGUAACUCUAGAAGCUAGGAUUGAGAGAGAUAAGGCUAGGGUUAUCAUCACAGCUGUAGAACAUCAAAUCAAAGAGCUGGAAAGUUGAAUUGAGGAAGGGGUUUGUCAGAAAACAUGUAUUGGGUGCCUGCGAUAUAUCUCCGCGAAACAAGGAAAGGAAGAAAACGGAGCAGGACAAUUUGUGGAAUUCCUAAACCCGGUUGAUAUCGGCGAUUCAUUCUUCAACUUAUUUUUUUACAUUUGAUAUUUCUGUGAUUAGCAUACCAACCUUCUUACUGAGUUAGUUGAUAUCUGACAACUAUAGAGCUUCUUCAACUAACGGUAUUGAUUAAUCAUAGGACAUCUGAGUGAUAUUCUGGCCUGCUAAAUUGUUAAAUUCUGAAGAACAGUGCGUUUGUGUGGGUCUGUUACCAUUUUCAUUAUGUGGUUUAUGCAUAUGGUGUUUGUUUCUCACCGCAACAUAAAGUGUUAGUCAACAUGACCCUGUAAUUUUGAGUAACCCAUGUGCUAGCUGAAUUGUUGUAUCAUUGUGCGUAAUUUAAUCUCGGCAGAACUAUCGUCUGUGUGCUUUUGGCCCUGAAUCUGAUUGCCGCUCACCCAUUCAUC